UGAAGCGCCUGGCAAGUUGAGGAUGCCAUCAUCACUAAGGUGGUUCUCCCAGGACGAGGCUCAUCCUUUGCACUCCAGGUGUGCGGACCCCUGUGAUUUCCCCCAAAUGCGCCAAACUCAACUGGAUAAUUUGUAGUAGAGGGGGGACUGCGUCCGGG
rnacentral:snRNA from 1 species